rnacentral:rRNA from 1 species
AACCUGCCCUUAAGUGGGGGAUAACAUUUGGAAACAGAUGCUAAUACCGCAUAAAUCCAAGAACCGCAUGGUUCUUGGCUGAAAGAUGGCGUAAGCUAUCGCUUUUGGAUGGACCCGCGGCGUAUUAGCUAGUUGGUGAGGUAACGGCUCACCAAGGCAAUGAUACGUAGCCGAACUGAGAGGUUGAUCGGCCACAUUGGGACUGAGACACGGCCCAAACUCCUACGGGAGGCAGCAGUAGGGAAUCUUCCACAAUGGACGCAAGUCUGAUGGAGCAACGCCGCGUGAGUGAAGAAGGCUUUCGGGUCGUAAAACUCUGUUGUUGGAGAAGAAUGGUCGGCAGAGUAACUGUUGUCGGCGUGACGGUAUCCAACCAGAAAGCCACGGCUAACUACGUGCCAGCAGCCGCGGUAAUACGUAGGUGGCAAGCGUUAUCCGGAUUUAUUGGGCGUAAAGCGAGCGCAGGCGGUUUUUUAAGUCUGAUGUGAAAGCCCUCGGCUUAACCGAGGAAGUGCAUCGGAAACUGGGAAACUUGAGUGCAGAAGAGGACAGUGGAACUCCAUGUGUAGCGGUGAAAUGCGUAGAUAUAUGGAAGAACACCAGUGGCGAAGGCGGCUGUCUGGUCUGUAACUGACGCUGAGGCUCGAAAGCAUGGGUAGCGAACAGGAUUAGAUACCCUGGUAGUCCAUGCCGUAAACGAUGAAUGCUAGGUGUUGGAGGGUUUCCGCCCUUCAGUGCCGCAGCUAACGCAUUAAGCAUUCCGCCUGGGGAGUACGACCGCAAGGUUAAACUCAAAGGAAUUGACGG